GACAAAUCUCGCCACAUUGCAUUGGAGAAGCCUGGUUGCUCGCCUGUUGCCUUUGGAUUAUGGCUCCAUGUUAAAAGGCUUGAUUUUCCCCUGCAAAGACAUGAAAGCCGGGUCAUUUGGUGCUUGCCCUGUUUGAGCGGUGAUACCCCAGAUAGCUAUGCCAUGGAGCCCAUUCGUAUAAUGAAAGACUAUGGGAAAGACUUUGGCU